rnacentral:rRNA from 1 species
UACGUAGGGGCCAAGCGUUGUCCGGAAUCAUUGGGCGUAAAGAGCGCGCAGGCGGUCGUUCAAGUCGCGUGUGAAAGCCCCCGGCUCAACUGGGGAGGGUCACGCGAUACUGAUCGACUCGAAGGCAGGAGAGGGUAGUGGGAUUCCCGGUGUAGUGGUGAAAUGCGUAGAUAUCGGGAGGAACACCAGUGGCGAAGGCGACUACCUGGCCUGUUCUUGACGCUGAGGCGCGAAAGCUAGGGGAGCAAACGGG